CUUGUAGUACUGGGACUCUAACCAUAGGCCAUGAAUCUGGUCUUGGGACACUGUCAGGUGGGCAGUUUGACUGGGGCGGUCGCCUCCCAAAAGGUAACGGAGGCGCUCAAAGGUUCUCUCAGUACGGUCGGAAAUCGUACGUAGAGUGUAAAGGCAAAAGAGAGCUUGAUUGCAAGACAUACAGGUCGAGCAAGGAUGAAAAUCGGACUUAGUGAUCCGGUGGUUCUGCGUGGAAGGGCCAUCGCCCAACGGAUAAAAGCUACCCUGGGGAUAACAGGCUUAUCUCCCCCAAGAGUCCACAUCGACGGGGAGGUUUGGCACCUCGAUGUCGGCUCAUCACAUCCUGGGGCUGUAGUAGGUCCCAAGGGUUGGG
rnacentral:rRNA from 1 species